GUGCUCGCUUCGGCAGCACAUACGCUAAAACUGGAACAAUACAGAGAAGAUCAGCACGGCCCCUGUGCAAGGAUGACAUGCAAAUUCAUGAAGCAUUCCAUACUUUU
ensembl:snRNA U6 U6 spliceosomal RNA